AAGGAGGAGCUUGCUCUUCUGGAUGAGUUGCGAACGGGUGAGUAACGCGUAGGUAACCUGCCUGGUAGCGGGGGAUAACUAUUGGGAACGAUAGCUAAUACCGCAUAAGAGUAGAUGUUGCAUGACAUUUACUUAAAAGGUGCAAUUGCAUCACUACCAGAUGGACCUGCGUUGUAUUAGCUAGUUGGUGGGGUAACGGCUCACCAAGGCGACGAUACAUAGCCGACCUGAGAGGGUGAUCGGCCACACUGGGACUGAGACACGGCCCAGACUCCUACGGGAGGCAGCAGUAGGGAAUCUUCGGCAAUGGACGGAAGUCUGACCGAGCAACGCCGCGUGAGUGAAGAAGGUUUUCGGAUCGUAAAGCUCUGUUGUAAGAGAAGAACGAGUGUGAGAGUGGAAAGUUCACACUGUGACGGUAUCUUACCAGAAAGGGACGGCUAACUACGUGCCAGCAGCCGCGGUAAUACGUAGGUCCCGAGCGUUGUCCGGAUUUAUUGGGCGUAAAGCGAGCGCAGGCGGUUAGAUAAGUCUGAAGUUAAAGGCUGUGGCUUAACCAUAGUACGCUUUGGAAACUGUUUAACUUGAGUGCAAGAGGGGAGAGUGGAAUUCCAUGUGUAGCGGUGAAAUGCGUAGAUAUAUGGAGGAACACCGGUGGCGAAAGCGGCUCU
rnacentral:rRNA from 1 species